CAUAAGUGGAGUUUAGAGACCACUUUAAAAAACAAGGCGACACCGAAAAGCCAGACGAGUAGGAAACUA
rfam:Bacteroidetes bacterium RBG_13_46_8 RBG_13_scaffold_2640, whole genome shotgun sequence.